UACGUAGGGUCCGAGCGUUGUCCGGAAUUAUUGGGCGUAAAGAGCUCGUAGGCGGUCUGUCGCGUCGGCUGUGAAAACCCGGAGCUCAACUCCGGGCCUGCAGUCGAUACGGGCAAACUGGAGUGUUGCAGGGGAGACUGGAAUUCCUGGUGUAGCGGUGAAAUGCGCAGAUAUCAGGAGGAACACCGGUGGCGAAGGCGGGUCUCUGGGCAACAACUGACGCUGAGGAGCGAAAGCGUGGGGAGCGAACAGG
rnacentral:rRNA from 1 species